CCCGCCUCCCGCCUCCCGAGCGCCGAGCGGCCGCGGCCCGGUACCCAGUCCGGCCCCCGGGGAGGCUGCGCGCAACCCCUCCCCUUGCCGCGCGCACACUUUGCGGACCCUGGUGCAGCCAGGACCGCGGGAUCCGGACGCUCUGUGCGGGGCGCAGCCUGCGGGGGCUGACCAGGGAAGAGCCCCUUCCUCUCUCCUUCUCCCCUCCCUCAGGCUCCUUGGAUAUCCGAGAAGGCUCCCUGGAGGAGAUGAUGCUCUCGCGAUGGUGAUGCCAAAGUAGCCAGCCGGCGCUUUGUUCACACCCCUCCCUGGGACGGGAACCUGGGUGACGGAGCAAGUCUGUGGCCAGGUGUCGUGCAGGUGAAGAGCUGGAAACCUUCUGUGUCUGCAGGAACUCUAGCACAAAUGACCACUGACCGCUUGAAACACAGCCACUGCCGCGAGCGAGGAAGGGAGUCUUUUGUCGUCAUCGUUCGUUGUAGUUUAAAUGUGAGUAGCCGUGGUGGCCAGUGGCUGCCACUUUAGACAGAAGCCUGAUCGCAUUCAUCUCUGCUCUAAUAGUUUCGUAGUUUGCUUGGUGAUUAAUUUUAAAGUUUGUUUUGGCUUCAUGCUUGUGUAAGAGCCACAAGCACACGUUGAUACCCAGUGUUAUGUUUGUGCACGUGAAAGUGACACUAUAAUCAAAAUAACGUAAGUCUUCACUUGGGGGUCUGCCAGGAUGCAUUUUGGUUGCAAAGGAGGCAGAACAGACCUCCGGCGUGAGGAACCUGGUCAGGAUGUCCUGGGUGCCCUCGUGUCCUGUCAGCUCCCCGCCAUCCACAGUGAUGAGGACAUUCCUGCCAAAGUUGUGAGCUGUAUCCUCAGAAAAGGGUCUUCCCUGAGCCCUCUGGGAAGGGGGCAAAGGGAGAUAUUGAGCUCACCCUCAGGGACCAGGGGCAAGGGCAGAACCAAGCACGCUGCAUCCUCGGUCCCCCAUCUCCAAAGCAAGUCCUGCCCGGCUGGCUUGUUCUGUCCCCUGCCUCGGGCUGGCAUCAGAUAUUUAGCUGUGUGCCAGGUGCCCUUCCAGACGCUGGCUGUGGGGAGCCGGGCAGCCGGGAGCCGGGCAGCCAGGAGCCCUUCCCUUGAAUAACUUAGGCCCUGGGGAGGGUGACGGAUGUUACCCCACAAUGUUUAUGUCCAUACUGGGAAGGGAGGGAACUCCCAGGAUACUUGAAAGAGAGUCACAGAUGGGGGCGCUGUUGCAGCCUGGGGGCUUGGAGGCGUUGACAACGGAUCCAGGCCCUUAGGAGGGGGGAGGCAGCCCUGCAGCGCCUGGGGAGGAGCAGUCCAGGCACAGAGGGGCAGGUUGGAGGAACAGAAAGGAAGGCAGUGGGAUGCAAGCAGAGGGAUGGUGAAGAGGCGGGACGCUGAGGUCGGGGGCAGGUGGAGGUGAGGGGGCAGGUGAAAGCCAGAGUGGGGCUUUGUUCGCUUCUGACUGCAGUGGGAGUGACCAGAGGGUUUCCCCAGGGAGCCUCAGGCCUGCUCCAGAUUGAGUGGGAACACAGACGGCAACAGGCUGCCUUGGCUCCACGGUGGAAGCAGCUCUCAGCGGCACCUGGGGGCUCGCUAGGAAAUGGCUGCGAGGGUGUAAGGACCACCUCCAGGUGCCUGGCACCUGGGGGCUCUCCCCGGGGACCACUUCUGAAGUGCCCUGUCCAGUGGCCCAUCAACUUGACCUUGUGAGGACCUCAGGGGACCCACCAGCAGCGUAUUGGUCAGGGCUCUCCAGAGAAACAGAACCAGGAGGAGAUGAAGGAGCUUUAUUAUGAGGCAUUGGCUCCUGUAGUUAUGGAGCCUGAGGACUGCCAAGGUCUGCCGUCUACAAGCUGGAUGCCCAGGCGAGUGGAUGGUGUGUUCCCAGUCUGAGGGCCGGAGAAGAUGAGCUGAGAUGUCCCAGCACACGGGGUGAGGCGGGAAAAGGAGUGAAUUCCUGCUUCCUCCACCUUUGUUCCUCCAGACCCUCGGUGGACGACGAGGCCCACCGCACGCGGGAGGGCCGUCUGCUCUCCUGCAUCCAGUGAUUCCAAAGCUCAUCUCAUCUGGAAACACCUUCCCAGACGCCCCCAGAUAUAACGUUUAUCUGGGCACCCUGUGGCCAGUCAUGCUGACACACAACACUAAACGUCACUGGCAGUGAUGAGAUGACGUGUACCAGUGUGAUCGGGGGGCAGGUGGGCCAUCCCGGGGGUGCGUCCUGAGAAAGACUCUUGUUGUCAGCUGGAUGCUGCCCCAGCACUCGUGGAGGAGCACCCAGAUGGGCUGCAGGGAGAAUGAGGGAAGGAGGGGCAGGGCUGUGCCUGGGAUGGGAGACCCCUCCCUGCACUUUGCCCUGAGGGCAGUUGGGGCUGAUGGUUUGAUGGGCAAGUAGCAGGCAGCAGGGCGAGAAGAGCAGGCCUUUCCUGGCCAGCUGGCUUUGGCUUGGAGUCUGCCCCUCUGUGUGGCUUCGGACUGGUUCCUCAGUUUCCCCAUCUGUGGCAGAGCAGCUCCCUGCGUUCUUGGGUUGGUGGAAUGCAAGGAUUUUUGCAAGCACUUGGAGCAGGGCCUGGCCCUGAGGCAGGAGGUCACUGCCUCCUUUAAGCUUCUUUGACUGAGAGGCUUGUCCACCAGGCACAGCCCCAGGACUGGUGACUCACCACUCUCUUGGGGGGCACACACACUGUCGUCCUGUCCAGGGGGAAUCACUGAACCCCACCCCCCUGCCUUGAUUUCCUGUGGAAAUAAGAGAGGACCACCCAGAUGAAACCGACAGAGGCUGUUUAUGCAGAGGCUGCUAUAGCAAGGGACCCAACCACCCUCACUGCGUUUGGCAGAGACUCACAGAGCCGGAGAGGGACAGCUUUAUAUUAAAAAAAAAAAAAAAAAAAAGGGAGA